rnacentral:rRNA from 1 species
UACGGGGGGGGCAAGCGUUGUUCGGAAUUACUGGGCGUAAAGGGCUUGUAGGUGGCCAACUAAGUCAGACGUGAAAUCCCUCGGCUUAACCGGGGAAUUGCGUCUGAUACUGGAUGGCUGGAGUGUGGGAGAGGGAUGCGGAAUUCCAGGUGUAGCGGUGAAAUGCGCAGAUAUCAGGAGGAACACCGGUGGCGAAGGCGGUUCUCUGGGCAUUACCUGACGCUGAGGAGCGAAAGUGUGGGGAGGCGAACAGG